rnacentral:rRNA from 1 species
GUCUAUAAGAAGAUGUAUAUAGUCUGUCCUGCCCACUGAAAAUUAAAUGGCUGCGGUAUUUUGACCGUACAAAGGUAGCAUAGUAAUUAGAUUUUUAAAUGAAAUCUGGAAUGAACGGAUUGACAAAAAGAAGACUGUCUCAAUAAUAAAAAUAUAAUUUAACUUUAAGAGUGAAAAGGCCUUAAUAAAUCAAGGGGACGAUAAGACCCUAUAAAACUUUAUAAAUAAAGUUAAAAUAUAGAAAUUGUAAAUAAUUUUUUUUAACUAAAUUUUAUUUUACUGGGGCGGUAUAUUAUAAGUACUAAUAACUAAUAAAAAUAUUAUCAUUGAUAGAUGAAAAUAAAUGAUCCUUUAAAAAGAUUAAAAGAUUAAGUUACUUUAGGGAUAACAGCGUUAUUUUUUUAGAGAGUUCUUAUCAAAAAAAAAGAUUGCGACCUCGAUGUUGAAUUAAAUAGUUCUUUAUAAUGCAGAAGUUAUAAAAGAAGGUCUGUUCGACCUUUAAAUAUUU